UACGGGGGGAGCAAGCGUUGUUCGGAUUUACUGGGCGUAAAGGGCGCGUAGGCGGCCACCGCAAGUCGACUGUGAAAUCUCCGGGCUUAACCCGGAAAGGUCAGCCGAUAUUGCGGGGCUAGAGUGCAGAAGGGGCAACUGGAAUUCUCGGUGUAGCGGUGAAAUGCGUAGAUAUCGAGAGGAACACCUGCGGCGAAGGCGGGUUGCUGGGCCGACACUGACGCUGAGGCGCGAAAGCCAGGGGAGCGAACGGG
rnacentral:rRNA from 1 species